UAGGGAAUCUUCGGCAAUGGGGGGAACCCUGACCGAGCAACGCCGCGUGAGUGAAGAAGGUUUUCGGAUCGUAAAGCUCUGUUGUUAAGGAAGAACGAGUGUGAGAAUGGAAAGUUCAUGCUGUGACGGUACUUAACCAGAAAGGGACGGCUAACUACGUGCCAGCAGCCGCGGUAAUACGUAGGUCCCGAGCGUUGUCCGGAUUUAUUGGGCGUAAAGCGAGCGCAGGCGGUUAGAAAAGUCUGAAGUGAAAGGCAGUGGCUCAACCAUUGUAGGCUUUGGAAACUGUUUAACAUGAGUGCAGAAGGGGAGAGUGGAAUUCCAUGUGUAGCGGUGAAAUGCGUAGGUAUAUGGAGGAACACCGGUGGCGAAAGCGGCUCUCUGGUCUGUAACUGACGAUGAGGCUCGAAAGCGUUGGGAGCGAACAGG
rnacentral:rRNA from 1 species